UACAGAGGUCCCGAGCGUUGUUCGGAUUCACUGGGCGUAAAGGGUGCGUAGGUGGCGUGGUAAGUUUGAUGUGAAAGCUCAGGGCUUAACCCUGAAAUGGCAUUGAAUACUACUGUGCUGGAGGUUUGGAGGGGGGACUGGAAUUCUUGGUGUAGCAGUGAAAUGCGCAGAUAUCAGGAGGAACACCAGCGGCGAAGGCGGCGCUCUGGGCCGGUACUGACACUGAGGAGCGAAAGCGUGGGUAGCAAACCGG
rnacentral:rRNA from 1 species